AUACCAUGGUGAGGGCACUUUCUUAGAAGAUCUUUAAACCGCUCCCAAGCAUCAUACAAAGACUCACCAUCAAUCUGACAAAAGUUAUUUAUUUAUCCCCUUAGUUU